CUUCAGGUGAAUGAGAGGGAAGCAGAGGAGCGGGACACGGUUCACUGUGCGUCGCAUUAAAAAAAGGAACAAUUAGAGGAAAAUGACUUGUGUUACGUCGCUUGGGGCGCAUGUUUUUAUGACUGCAUAUCUGCUCUUUGUGAUGGGAUGCGUUGCACAGAAAGUAUACUUUGACUGUGGUGCCAAGGUGGAUGUGGUUGAUGUCCAAGGCCUCAUUCUGUCUCCUGGCUUCCCCUACAACUACUCCUCUGGCACACACUGCGUUUGGCAGUUCGUUGUGCCUAUUGAUUACCAGCUGAUUCUGGAGAUAUUUGACUUUGAUGUGUUUGAAAGCCAUGAUGCUGCAUCACAGUACUCUAACUCUAAUUUUGAAGAGGAAGAUACAGAUGAAGAAGUGACGUUCACUACUAGCAGCUCUGUGGCAGAUGAAACCUCAUCAGCUGAUAAAGAGUCUACACUUCAGAGUGCAGGGGACGUCUCAAAGACUCAGCAGUCUUCCCAAGAUGGUGAGGUCAAGCAAGUCGUGGUACAGGAGCAGUCCUCAAAAAUGGAGAUUGCCAAAGUCUCAAAUUCUGCCAAAAGAUCUGCAGAUUCCUCCUCUAGCAUGUCUUCCCCACCUCCUCCCUCUCUGCUGCUCCUACCUGGUGCCGUGCCUCCAGGAGACAAGACCAUCAACUCAGCCUCCUCGUCUCAGCUAAGACCAGAACUUAGCCCAAGUUCAAACCCAGGGACAGUUGUAGAGGAGACCACUCAUGUUCCACCACACUCAACCAGCACUCCACCAGUGCGCCCCGAAACCCAGCAAUCUGUUCUUGAUGCCUGCCCCCACGAUGUACUCUACAUCUCCGACCUCAUCACCUUUUCAUCCAGGUUCUGUGGAUCCAACAGGCCUCCCAGCAGUCAGCUGGUUUUUGGCUCAAGUGAGGAGAUGGUGGAGGUUAUCAUGGAGCUCAUCACUACCACCCACUGGGGGCGCGGGUUUGCUCUUCUCUUUCAUUACCACAACUUGACUGAGCCAGGGGGGGACCGACGUGCCAUUUCUCCUAUGGCCAGCAAGGUAGACUCUCUGCUGGCUGCUGUGAGUGGAGCCGCCUUCUUCGCUAUGAUACUUACCAGUGCCCUCUGCAUCAUUUUCAGACCCAAACUGUGCCCAAAAAGAGCCAGCUCCUGUGCAUCCAGUAACUCUGAGGUGCCAGAGGGUGUCCAGAACACGGUGGCUGAAGUCAGUGAGCUUCAGCUGAUGGCUGAGAAUCAGGCCAGCCUAGAGACGACCAUAGAGCAGGACAACAACAACGACAUCCCGCCACGCACAGUCAGCCCGGGUUGUGACAUGUCUCAGAAUGCAGAGGUGGACCUUUCCUGCAGCGGUUUGACUGAACUGGACCUUGGUGCAGAUGAUGUUUUCAUUGUAUCCUCAGCACCUAGCCCAAGUGGGCAACCCGUCUCCCCUCACACGCAGCGGGAGAGGUUUCUGCGGCACAGUGACACCGGUCCUGGCCCAGCAGGUGACUGGCCCUCACCAGACUCCCCCACCUCCCAUCCUGGUGCCAGGACCACAAAGGAAGGCAGCAGUGGCUGUGCCAGACCAAGAGCGUGGAGUGUGCGCACCUUCCAGGACUUCCUCCCUCCAUUGCCGCAGCUUCACAAGAAGUGGUGCAGCUGGAACUCCACUAGUCCUUUCACCAAGCUGGUGGACAGCGCUCCAUCCAGUUUGGUAUCCGACUGCACAGGGGGCAACAGCAGGAAGGUCUUCUCUGAUGUUCACCUGGAAGCAACCGCAGACACCAGCACAGUCUCCGAUUCAUCCAUCAGCAAUGCUUCUUAUCCACUUGCACAGCCUGCACAAAGGCAGCGGCGUCUCAACUCCACCAGCAACCUGCGACGCUCACGGUUCACAGGGCCUUGCUUCGGUCUGCUCUCUGGGACGGCAGACUUAGUCAAGCCCUCUGGGGUUGUUCAUGCUCCAAGCUCCCCAACAGAGCAAAGUUCUGGCUCUUCUUCCAACCAGUGUCAGAUUGACAGCAGCCAAGCUGGAAAGAGGCGUGAGUUCCCAGGCGAGGGUGAUCACAUCAGUGUGCCUGUGUUUGCCAUCUCUGAGGAGGAGGACCGGCAGCCUCUGGUCUCAGCGGAGCAUGUGGACCAGACCUCUGCUAUGCUGAAUGGGCUGGUGAAAGGGACAUAUGAAGGGAAGAAGCCUGCUGUUGGAAGCACUACCCUCAGCCCUCAGAGGGCCAGGCCAGAGUGGAGGCCAUGGGGAAGCCAGGUAUCAGGAGGAGCUGGUCUACUCUCUGAGUCACACAUAAUCAAUGACAGCCAGUCAUCUGUCAGUGUGUCCACAGGGCCGUGCAGUGUGACCAACCAGAUGUGACAAGACAGGGAGGAGCACAGACUCUGGUGUGCUAAUUAUACAUUUCUGAACUCAAUUAGUAUCACUGUGAAAUAUAUAUCCAACUUCUCUAAUUUCUGAAAGCAACUCUUACAAAAUGAUUAGUAGCUUUCUGUUGUAUAUUCUUAUCAUUGUAGCGGUUUUUUCUAUUUUUUUAUAAAGUCGUGUUUGGACAAAGAAGAAAUAUUAUGCUGCUUACUAUACCAUGGUACUGACUGCUGUGGUGUUAUAUGUAUAAAAAGAUGACCGAUUGCAAAUCUGAACAAAAAGGUCUUUUUGAGUGACUUCUCCAUUACCCCAAACCAG
rnacentral:lncRNA from 1 species